GUCUACGGCCAUACCAACCUGAAUGCGCCCUAGCUCAUCUGAUCUCGGAAGCUAAGCAGGGUUGAGCCUGAUUAGUACUUGGAUGGGAGACAAAUAUUCAGAAGUGACUGCUCAGAGACA
rnacentral:rRNA from 1 species